ACGAACGCUGGCGGCGUGCCUAAUACAUGCAAGUCGAACGAGAGCGACGGGUGCUUGCACUGGUCAAUCUAGUGGCGAACGGGUGAGUAACACGUGGGUAACCUGCCCAUCAGAGGGGGAUAACAUUCGGAAACGGAUGCUAAAACCGCAUAGGUUCUACAGUCGCAUGACUGAAGAAGGAAAAGAGGCUUCGGCUUCUGCUGAUGGAUGGACCCGCGGUGCAUUAGCUAGUUGGUGAGGUAACGGCUCACCAAGGCCGUGAUGCAUAGCCGACCUGAGAGGGUGAUCGGCCACAUUGGGACUGAGACACGGCCCAAACUCCU
rnacentral:rRNA from 1 species